rnacentral:rRNA from 1 species
GAUGAACGCUGGCGGCGUGCCUAAUACAUGCAAGUAGAACGCUGAAGCUUGGUGCUUGCCCGAGCGGAUGAGUUGCGAACGGGUGAGUAACGCGUAGGUAACCUGCCUCUUAGCGGGGGAUAACUAUUGGAAACGAUAGCUAAUACCGCAUAAAAGUCGAUAUCGCAUGAUAUUGAUUUGAAAGGUGCAAAUGCAUCACUAAGAGAUGGACCUGCGUUGUAUUAGCUAGUUGGUGAGGUAACGGCUCACCAAGGCGACGAUACAUAGCCGACCUGAGAGGGUGAUCGGCCACACUGGGACUGAGACACGGCCCAGACUCCUACGGGAGGCAGCAGUAGGGAAUCUUCGGCAAUGGGGGCAACCCUGACCGAGCAACGCCGCGUGAGUGAAGAAGGUUUUCGGAUCGUAAAGCUCUGUUGUAAGAGAAGAACGAGUGUGAGAGUGGAAAGUUCACACUGUGACGGUAACUUACCAGAAAG